rnacentral:rRNA from 1 species
GACGAACGCUGGCGGCGUGCUUAACACAUGCAAGUCGAACGGAAAGGCCCUGCUUUUGUGGGGUGCUCGAGUGGCGAACGGGUGAGUAACACGUGAGUAACCUGCCCUUGACUUUGGGAUAACUUCAGGAAACUGGGGCUAAUACCGGAUAGGAGCUCCUGCUGCAUGGUGGGGGUUGGAAAGUUUCGGCGGUUGGGGAUGGACUCGCGGCUUAUCAGCUUGUUGGUGGGGUAGUGGCUUACCAAGGCUUUGACGGGUAGCCGGCCUGAGAGGGUGACCGGCCACAAUGGGAAUGAGAUACGGCCCAGACUCCUAAGGGAGGCAGCAGGGGGGAAUAAUGCAAAAUGGGCGGAAGGCUGAUGCAGCAACGCCGCGUGCGGGAUGACGGCCUUCGGGGUGGAAACCGCUUUCGCCUGUGACGAAGCGUGAGUGAAGGUAAUGGGUAAAGAAGCACCGGCUAACUACGUG